UACGGGGGGUGCGAGCGUUGUCCGGAAUCACUGGGCGUAAAGGGCGCGUAGGUGGUUUGAUAAGGGUGUGGUGAAAGUCCGGGGCUCAACCCCGGAUCUGCCGUGCCGACUGCCAAACUCGAGGGCUGUAGAGGCGGACGGAAUUCCGGGUGUAGCGGUGGAAUGCGCAGAUAUCAGGAGGAACACCAAUGGCGAAGGCAGCUCGCUGGGACGUGACUGACGCUGAGACGCGAAAGCGUGGGGAGCAAACAGG
rnacentral:rRNA from 1 species